GUUAGGAAUAUUGGACAAUGGGCGAAAGCCUGAUCCAGCCAUGCCGCGUGAACGAUGAAGGCCUUCGGGUUGUAAAGUUCUUUAGCCGAUGAUUAUAAUGACUGUAGUCGGAAAAUAAGCCCCGGCUAACUUCGUGCCAGCAGCCGCGGUAAUACGAAGGGGGCGAGCGUUAUUCGGAAUCACUGGGCGUAAAGCGUGCGUAGGCGGUUUUGUAAGUUAGGAGUGAAAGUCCAGGGCUCAACCUUGGAAUUGCUCUUAAAACUGCAAGGCUCGAAUCUCGGAGAGGAUAGCGGAAUUUCCAGUGUAGCAGUGAAAUGCGUAGAUAUUGGAAGGAACACCAGUGGCGUAAGCGGCUAUCUGGACGAGUAUUGACGCUGAGGCACGAAAGCGUGGGGAUCAAACAGGAUUAGAAACCCUGGUAGUCC
rnacentral:rRNA from 1 species